UAUACUUUUAUCACUGUCAAUAGAAGAAUGGGGCUGUUAGAGGAUUUCUAAUCUUAACUUUAUUUUUUACUUUAAAAUUGAAAUUGAGUUGGAUUGGAACUAAAUUCCAAUUUUAAGAAAAUUACAUUAGCGAUGCUUACGUGUGUUAAAAACACUACAAAAGGUUGUCUCUGUUUGAAAGGGUUCUCGAGAAAAAGAAAAGAACAGAAACACUCUUUUGCCUCAGAACGCCGUUACACAAACCUCUCUCUCUUCAUCCUUCUUCGUACUCUUAUCUCUCUCUGUCUUCGCUUUCUGUUAUUACAGAGAUAGAAUCACCGUGGGGCUCGGAUUCGCUUGGUGCAGGUCGGGACUGAUAUGCUGACACAACCACUGGUGCUUUUGCCUUAUUGGUUUGUGAGCAGGUAUUGGCUCCCGCCUUGCAUCAAUUGAAUCGGAGCCUCCAAUGGUGAAACGAAUCCAAUUAGAUCUGGAACUUAUGUAUAUAUAUAUAUAUACUCUUCUCAUCUCUUCUUUUUUCUUCUCUUGAUUUCUAACUUAUAUUAUAAGAUCAAAACUAGAAAUUGAGGAUUAAAAAGUGUGUUUCUUUGAAUCUUAAAAUCAUGUUGUUGGCAAAUAAAAAGUUAUCUAAUUUUGUUUGGUUUUAAGCUAUUGUGUUCCAUGAGAUUCAGGAUCACCGGAUUAAAUCCUAAAAGCUUCAUAGUUGGAGACUGAAAAAUGUAAGAAGAAGAGAUGAAACUGAGCAGAGUUUGUUGUGGACUGACUCACAGAGCAACCAAGAGGUAAACCACGGUCUACAGACUAAAAGUUUCAAAUCCUAUAUUAUUAAACGACGAAAAGUACACUCUCCAAGCAAAAGAAAGCAAACAAAAACUUACACUGGUUGGAUCCAAGAAAAAGAACAGAGGCUGCACUUGUCUUAAAAUCUUAUGCCUCAGCAGACAUCAAUGAUUCCGAUUCAUUUGUCUUAUUUAUAAUACGUAUGGUUAUUAAUGAAAGUGCAUAUAUUGGCUUUCCUCGUUUGCACAUUAAAUGCUCUAGGAUUUGAGUUUAUAGAAGUUAGAAAUAUAUA